GCAUCAUUCAAAUAUCUGCCCUUAUAACUUUAAUGGUAGGAUAGUGGCCUACCAUGGUUUCAACGGGUAACGGGGAAUAAGGGUUCGAUUCCGGAGAGGGAGCCUGAGAAACGGCUACACAUCCAAGAAGGCAGCAGGCGCGCAAAUUACCCAAUCCCGACCGGGGAGGUAGUGACAAUAAAUAACAAUAUAGGGCUCUUUCGGGUCUUAUAAUUGGAAUGAGGACAAUUUAAAUCUCUUAUCGAGGAACAAUUGGAGGGCAAGUCUGGUUGCCAGCAGCCGGGUAAUUCCAGCUCCAAUAGCGUAUAUUAAAGUUGUUGCAGUUAAAAAGCUCGUAGUUG
rnacentral:rRNA from 1 species